GAUGCUGCAAAGACACGCGCUCAGAGAGAUGCCUCCCGCCUGCGCCCAAGACCACCCUGGAGCCCGCGGCCAGGCCCCGGAGGGGUUAACUGACCCCCGAGAGUCUGGUCCGGGGCUCCCUCAGCCAGCAGGGUCAAGGCAGGCCCGGGGCUCACCUGGGGUUGUUCUGGAUAGAGCGCAGGGCCAGGCCGAAGGCCAGGUGGCGACACGGCUCCUCGGCAGAGCUCAUCAGCCGCUGUAGACUGGUCUGCAGGGGUGGGGGCGUGACGGGAGCUCAGACCGCCAGUCCCCAGGCUCUCGGCCAUCGGCCUCAGGACAGAGACAGCAGCGAGGGUCAGCAGGGGACCCUGCUCCCCAAGCCCCCACCCCCACGGCCUCGUAACACGAGCGGCCCGCUUCUGACAGAAGGCUGACCGGGCCCUCAGCUCCCUCACCGAGAAAAAGCCCAGAAUCUCCGGUCUCCGCCGAGACAUCUCAUCUAUGUCGCUCAGAACUUCCAACAGAUCUAAGGUGGGCAGAGGGAGCAUGUGAGGGCCAGGCCUCGGCUGCUGGACCCGGGCCGGGACCUCUGUGUGCCCACGCAGCCCAGAGGCAGGAGCCCCAGCCCGCACCGUCCCCCAUCCCGCCUGCCGGGCAGGGGCCGAGCAAGGACACCACCAGGACCCUGGCCGGUCCCCGGUCUGGUCUCUGCACAGGUUCCAACAGACAGAGCUGUGGUGUUCCAGACGCGGUGCAGCCUAUCAGAACGCUAGCACCAGUGCCCUCUGGAACCUUCCACACCACCCUUGGUGCCUGGUGAGCUUGGGAGGCCCCCAGCGCCUCGGGGUGAAGAGCACCCGGUGCCCAGUUCCAUCAGGUCAAUGACCCCACGCUGUAGGCACUAUUGACAAGGAAGCAUCCAGAAGUACCGCGCUCCCGCCACCCCCGACCCUCGUCCGGCAGAGGGAGGAGGCCAGGGAUCUGCACUGGGACUGCCGUCCCCACUGCCCGUCGCCGGCCGUCCCAAGACACUCCUGCUGCCAGGUGGCGGCCAGCCCCUCACACCCCACUCUGCUCCGGUCGGCUGAUGCUCAGACACGCACCCGCCCCACAGCGUGCCUGGGAGCCCGAGCCGCUGCGGCACCCAGCCCCUCUGCUCCCCGCUGGCCCGU